CAAAAUGUAGCUUAACNAAAGCCUCUCGCUUACAUCGAGAAGACACCCGUGAGNCCCGGAUCAUUUUGA
rnacentral:tRNA from 1 species